rnacentral:rRNA from 1 species
UUUUCCUACGGGGGGCAGCAGUGAGGAAUAUUGGUCAAUGGGCGGAAGCCUGAACCAGCCAAGUCGCGUGAGGGAAUAAGGCCCUACGGGUCGUAAACCUCUUUUGCCGGGGAGCAAGGGCGGGGACGUGUCCCGGCCCGGAGAGUACCCGGAGAAAAAGCAUCGGCUAACUCCGUGCCAGCAGCCGCGGUAAUACGGAGGAUGCGAGCGUUAUCCGGAUUUAUUGGGUUUAAAGGGUGCGUAGGCGGACGCUUAAGUCAGCGGUAAAAUUGCGGGGCUCAACCUC